rnacentral:rRNA from 1 species
GAUCCUGGCUCAGGAUGAACGCUAGCUACAGGCUUAACACAUGCAAGUCGAGGGGCAGCAUGACGAUAGCUUGCUAUUGUUGAUGGCGACCGGCGCACGGGUGAGUAACGCGUAUCCAACCUGCCCCUUUGUCCCAUCGGAUAACCCGUCGAAAGGCGGCCUAACACGAUAUGCAGUUCUCAGCAGGCAUCUAACGAGAACGAAAUGUGAAGGAGAAGGAUGGGG